CCUUCCACAAAUUUAAUGCUCCAAAAAAAAUAGAACGCCCCUUCCCAUAAUUUUUCACGAUGAACCAGAUCAUUAUCUGAUUUCCUACAUAAAAAAUUCCCUUUAAAAGCAGCACAAAAGAAAGAGAAUAAAAGGGAUGGCAUAUAGAGUGAUUUGGAUGAGAUCAAACUCUCUUGAUAAGGAAUGUUUUGAAAUGUAAUUUCAAAAUUUUUCUUUUAUUAAAACCAAAUCAGAUUUGGACGUGAGAU
rnacentral:lncRNA from 1 species